UACGGAGGGUGCAAGCGUUAUCCGGAUUCACUGGGCGUAAAGCGCACGUAGGCGGUUUUUUAAGUCAGAUGUGAAAGCCCCGGGCUCAACCUGGGAAUUGCAUUUGAAACUGGGGAACUAGAGUGUGUGAGAGGGGGGUAGAAUUCCAAGUGUAGCGGUGAAAUGCGUAGAGAUUUGGAGGAAUACCAGUGGCGAAGGCGGCCCCCUGGCACAACACUGACGCUCAGGUGCGAAAGCGUGGGGAGCAAACAGG
rnacentral:rRNA from 1 species